GACGAACGCUGGCGGCGUGCCUAAUACAUGCAAGUAGAACGCUGAAGAGAGGAGCUUGCUCUUCUUGGAUGAGUUGCGAACGGGUGAGUAAUGCGUAGGUAACCUGCCUGGUAGCGGGGGAUAACUAUUGGAAACGAUAGCUAAUACCGCAUAAAAUGGAUUAUCGCAUGAUAAUCCAUUGAAAGGUGCAAAUGCAUCACUACCAGAUGGACCUGCGUUGUAUUAGCUAGUUGGUGGGGUAACGGCUCACCAAGGCGACGAUACAUAGCCGACCUGAGAGGGUGAUCGGCCACACUGGGACUGAGACACGGCCCAGACUCCUACGGGAGGCAGCAGUAGGGAAUCUUCGGCAAUAGACGGAAGUCUGACCGAGCAACGCCGCGUGAGUGAAGAAGGUUUUCGGAUCGUAAAGCUCUGUUGUAAGAGAAGAACGAGUGUGAGAGUGGAAAGUUCACACUGUGACGGUAUCUUACCAGAAAGGGACGGCUAACUACGUG
rnacentral:rRNA from 1 species